rnacentral:rRNA from 1 species
GGGUGCGAUCAUACCAGCACUAAUGCACCGGAUCCCAUCAGAACUCCGCAGUUAAGCGUGCUUGGGCGAGAGCAGUACUAGGAUGGGUGACCUCCUGGGAAGUCCUCGCGUUGCACCCCUC